rnacentral:rRNA from 1 species
AUUGAACGCUGGCGGCAUGCCUUACACAUGCAAGUCGAACGGUAACAGGGAGCUUGCUCCGCUGACGAGUGGCGAACGGGUGAGUAAUGUAUCGGAACGUACCUUUCAGUGGGGAGUAACGUAGCGAAAGUUACGCUAAUACCGCAUAUUCUGUGAGCAGGAAAGCAGGGGAGUCGCAAGACCUUGCGCUGAUUGAGCGGCCGAUAUCAGAUUAGCUAGUUGGUGAGGUAAAGGCUCACCAAGGCGACGAUCUGUAGCGGGUCUGAGAGGAUGAUCCGCCACACUGGAACUGAGACACGGUCCAGACUCCUACGGGAGGCAGCAGUGGGGAAUUUUGGACAAUGGGGGCAACCCUGAUCCAGCCAUGCCGCGUGAGUGAAGAAGGCC